CAGCCGCCGCGGUAAUACCAGCCCCGCGAGUGGUCGGGACGGUUAUUGGGCCUAAAGCGCCCGUAGCCGGCCCGGCAAGUCCCUCCUUAAAGCCUCGGGCCCAACCCGAGGACGGGGGGGAUACUGCCGGGCUAGGGGGCGGGAGAGGCCGGCGGUACUCCCGGGGUAGGGGCGAAAUCCGUUAAUCCCGGGAGGACCACCAGUGGCGAAGGCGGCCGGCCGGAACGCGCCCGACGGUGAGGGGCGAAAGCCGGGGGAGCGAACCGGAUUAGAUGCCCGGGUAGUCCCGGCUGUAAACGAUGCGGGCUAGCUGUUGGGCGGGCUUAGAGCCCGCCCAGUGGCGCAGGGAAGCCGUUAAGUCCGCCGCCUGGGGAGUACGGCCGCAAGGCUGAAACUUAAAGGAAUUGGCGGG
rnacentral:rRNA from 1 species